GUAUCCUGUCUCAGGAUGAACGCUAGCGGCAGGCUUAACACAUGCAAGUCGAGGGGGCGAGCAUAAUGGAUAGCAAUAUCUAUGGUGGCGACCGGCGCACGGGUGCGUAACGCGUAUGCAACCUACCUUUUAACAGGGGGGAUAACACUGAGAAAUUGGUACUAAUACCCCAUAACAUCAUGAGAGGCAUCUUUUUAUGGUUGAAAAUUUCCGAUGGUUAGAGAAUGGGCAUGCGUUGGUA
rnacentral:rRNA from 1 species